rnacentral:rRNA from 1 species
UACGGAGGAUCCGAGCGUUAUCCGGAUUUAUUGGGUUUAAAGGGUGCGUAGGCGGUUCCAUAAGUCAGUGGUGAAAUACGGCAGCUCAACUGUCGAGGUGCCAUUGAUACUGCGGAACUUGAGUGUUGAUGAGGCAGGCGGAAUUGACGGUGUAGCGGUGAAAUGCUUAGAUAUCGUCAAGAACACCGAUAGCGAAGGCAGCUUGCCAAGCAACAACUGACGCUCAGGCACGAAAGUGCGGGGAUCAAACAGG